CACGAAGGGGGCUAGCGUUGUUCGGAAUGACUGGGCGUAAAGGGCGCGUAGGCGGUUCAUACAGUCAGAUGUGAAAUUCCUGGGCUCAACCUGGGGGCUGCAUUUGAUACGUGUGGACUAGAGUGGGGAAGAGGGUCGUGGAAUUCCCAGUGUAGAGGUGAAAUUCGUAGAUAUUGGGAAGAACACCGGUGGCGAAGGCGGCGACCUGGUCCUUGACUGACGCUGAGGCGCGAAAGCGUGGGGAGCAAACAGG
rnacentral:rRNA from 1 species